rnacentral:rRNA from 1 species
GAUGAACGCUGGCGGCGUGCUUAACACAUGCAAGUCGAACGAAGAAGAGUUGAAUGAGAGCUUCGGCAGGAUUUCUUCUCAUCUUAGUGGCGGACGGGUGAGUAACGUGUGGGCAACCUGCCCUAUACUGGGGAAUAAUCACUGGAAACGGUGACUAAUACCGCAUAAUGUACAGAGGGGGCAUCCCUUUUGUAUCAAAGGAGAAAUCCGCUGAAAGAUGGGCUCACGUCUGAUUAGCUGGUUGGUGGGGUAAAGGCCUACCAAGGCUGCGAUCAGUAGCCGGACUGAGAGGUUGAACGGCCACAUUGGGACUGAGAUACGGCCCAG